CCUACGGGUGGCAGCAGUGAGGAAUAUUGGUCAAUGGGCGCAAGGCUGAACCAGCCAAGUAGCGUGAAGGAUGACUGCCCUAAGGGUUGUAAACUUCUUUUAUAAAGGAAUAAAGUGAGGCACGUGUGCCUUUUUGUAGGUACUUUAUGAAUAAGGAUCGGCUAACUCCGUGCCAGCAGCCGCGGUAAUACGGAGGAUCCGAGCGUUAUCCGGAUUUAUUGGGUUUAAAGGGAGCGUAGAUGGGUUGUUAAGUCAGUUGUGAAAGUUUGCGGCUCAACCGUAAAAUUGCAGUUGAUACUGGCAGUCUUGAGUACAGGUGAGGUAGGCGGAAUGCGUGGUGUAGCGGUGAAAUGCUUAGAUAUCACGAAGAACUCCGAUUGCGAAGGCAGCUUACUAAACUGUGACUGACAUUGAUGCUCGAAAGUGUGGGUAUCAAACAGGAUUAGAUACCCGUGUAGUC
rnacentral:rRNA from 1 species